AUUGAACGCUGGCGGCAGGCCUAACACAUGCAAGUCGAGCGGAUGAGAGGAGCUUGCUUCUCGAUUCAGCGGCGGACGGGUGAGUAAUGCCUAGGAAUCUGCCUGGUAGUGGGGGACAACGUUUCGAAAGGAACGCUAAUACCGCAUACGUCCUACGGGAGAAAGCAGGGGACCUUCGGGCCUUGCGCUAUCAGAUGAGCCUAGGUCGGAUUAGCUAGUUGGUGAGGUAAUGGCUCACCAAGGCGACGAUCCGUAACUGGUCUGAGAGGAUGAUCAGUCACACUGGAACUGAGACACGGUCCAGACUCCUACGGGAGGCAGCAGUGGGGAAUAUUGGACAAUGGGCGAAAGCCUGAUCCAGCCAUGCCGCGUGUGUGAAGAAGGUCUUCGGAUUGUAAAGCGCUUUAAGUUGGGAGGAAGGGUUGUAGAUUAAUACUCUGCAAUUUUGACGUUACCGACAGAAUAAGCACCGGCUAACUCUGUGCCAGCCGCCGCAGUAA
rnacentral:rRNA from 1 species